AAAAAAAGGAUACAUUGUGUAAGGUAUACUUCGUUGAAGUCGAACAUAUUAUAUAUACAUUUAUAUAAACGUGAACUGACUAAAGAAGUGAUUGUAUUUGGUUUAGAGGAAUUAUCUUGUUCCACGUGAUUAGUGUCCCAGUUAAAUAUUUCCUUAGGACUGGGAACCUAAUUUGAAUCCCCUCCAAUUUUCUGGAGAAAAUUUUAAGUUGGUCCUUAUUAAGAAUAUUUGGAGCACGUGACUACCCAUGGUAUUUGGUUUAGCUGAGGUUCCAUGAUUUUUGGGACUCAAAACAUCUUUCCAUACCGAUUGUUUUACGGCAAACAUUUUUUAUUGUUUGCUGGGAUUUUUUUUUUUUUUUG